GGAUAUAGCCAAGUGGUAAGGCAGCUGGCUCUGAACCAGCCAUUCGGGAGUUCAAAUCUCUCUAUC
rnacentral:tRNA from 1 species